AUCGAACGCUGGCGGCAGGCCUAACACAUGCAAGUCGAACGAGUGGCGGACGGGUGAGUAAUGUCUGGGAAACUGCCUGAUGGAGGGGGAUAACUACUGGAAACGGUAGCUAAUACCGCAUACCAUCGGAUGUGCCCAGAUGGGAUUAGCUAGUAGGUGGGGUAACGGCUCACCUAGGCGACGAUCCCUAGCUGGUCUGCGAGGAUGACCAGCCGCACUGGAACUGCAACACGGUCAAGACUCCUGCGGGAGUCAGAAGUGGGGAAUAUUGCACAAUGGGCGCAAGCCUGAGGCAGCAAUGCCGCGUGUGUGAAGAAGGCCUUCGGGUUGUAAAGUACUUUCAGCGGGGAGGCGUUACUCGCAGAAGAAGCACCGGCUAACUCCGUGCCAGCAGCCGCGGUAAUAC
rnacentral:rRNA from 1 species